GAGAACUGUCUGUGCACCUCCUCCCCAUGACGUAAUCCUGAGGUCAGAGGUCUUGACUCCUGACCCCCAGCACUGGAAGCCAUAUAUGAGGAUCCUGUCAGCAUCUCAGAAAGUUAUGGCGAGUUCUCCCAUGCUCCUCUCAAGAUCUGUUUAUUUAUGAUUUAGUAAUACAGCAUAAAGUUGAAAAAGGAAAUCACUGUCAUUUUUUAGUCUUCCAGGCAAGAGAACCUUCCACGCUUCCUGUAAACCCGUCCAUUCAUAUGUUAUACGGUCUCAGAAGAAUUUGCUCUUUUGCAUCAAGAGGAAGUCUUGCAGUCACGGACAGUAAAGACGGCGCUCUAUGGACUUUCUCAUGCAAUGUUUCUUAUUCUGUAUUUUCAAUGAGCAAGAAGAACCUUCUGAAUUUAAAAUGUAAGAAUUGUGUCAAAGAUCAAAGCCUCUUCCUUCUGUAUCUCCACCCAGAACAACUCGAGACAAAGCCGGAGAACAAUGCUAUCUAUGAAGACUCCUGUCCUUCUCCUCCCUCUUCCUGCAAACAAGUCUCUCCAAGAUCUCACUAGACUCAAUUUACAUCAGAAAAACAGGGGCAUGUAACAUUUUGUUUUCUCUAAAAAGAGUCACUCCCAGGAUUCGCCCAGUACCUUCGCCAUCCUGACCUCUAGAAAAUGACCACAUUGAUGUACGGUGGAUCAUACAUGAUGACACUUUCGAUGGUUUGAUCAGUUACAGUUAUAAUAUACUUAAAAAAGUUUUAAAAAGGUUAAUAAAAAUAAUAAAAAAUAUUUCUGGACAUAACUGGAAUAUAUAGAAUAUGAGGUAGGCAUAAUUGUAAAACCUGUAAAAACAAAAAGGAUGACAUAUUUGGGGAGAUUUACCACUGAGUUGUUUUGUACUUUUGUUGCAGGCUUUUUGUCGGACACUCGCAUAAUUUAUCAUAUGUGUGAUGAAUAAUGCGCAAGUCCACCAAAACUAACAAAAUUACUUCACAACACCUUUUUUCAUGCUGUCAAGCAGGUUUCUAGAGCAGCACUCUGUUUGCGGGGUUUUAUUUUCAACCAUUGGGCUGUAAUUUUGCAUAUAAAAAAAACCCGCAAAUAAUAAAUUAAUGAUCACUGUGUGUCAAGUGGUCUACAUAGACCAGUCUUCAGAAAUCAUUGAUAUUGUAAUGGAAAAAAAGGAUUAAAAAAAUAUGCAAAUCCCCAAAAAUCGCAAAAAAUAUAACAAACAUACAAAUAGAUUAAUAACAAGUAAAAAAAAGAUUCAUAAAUCCCCCCCAUUAACUCUAGUAAAUCCUCAUCCAAUCUAUUUAAAAUAAAUGCAGAAGUAAAAAAUAAAAGUCAAAAAGUUCAAAGGAAUCUUGGAAUAGCAGAGAUAGUGCUAAAAAAAAAUCUCGCAUUUUUUGAUACAUACAAAGUUACAUACAUAACACGUUUCUGGGUAUAAAACAUCCCUUCCUCAGGUGUGUUAUGACAUAUACCACUAUUAUCUAUAGAAAAUGAUAAUAUGAAUAGCAAUACCUAAAAUCUAUUCUUUUGGUUUGCAAUACUAUGUAUAGCAACUUUAAAUAAGCAAUAUAAAAACUUAGGUAUUAACAAGUGCAUAUAGAACAUUGGAACCUAAAAAAAGGUAACUAAAAAUGAGGUGACCCAUUGACAAGGAUAAUCUUUAAUCUAUUGCACUUAAUCGAUUGAUUCCAGCUAAAAAAGAUUAGUGGCAUCCGCAAGGACAACUAUAGGACUUGUUCUGACUUUCACGUUUGCUAAGGUUCUAAGCAUAUAUUAAGCUAUUGGACUAAAUAGUGUAUAUACAGUAAAGCAAAUGAGUGGAUUUACAGCAGUUAGAAGUUUGAAUACGGUUGGAUGUUAUAGUCUUCUAACUUUUUAUGCCUUGGGCAGUGUUUCCCAACUGGGGUGCCUCCAGCUGUUGCAAAACUACAAUUUUGUAACAGCUGGAAGGCCUGUGAAAAAUGAAAGAAGCAACCUGAUUGGUUGCUAUGGGCAACUCAGCAACUUUUCCUCUGCACAUGUUUUGAUAAAUCUCCCCCUAUGUUCCUACACUGUUUUUUGCCCCCUUUAAAACAGCCAUUAAUUUAAGGCUGUAAAAUUGUCAUGUCCUUGUUUUGGCCAUUAAUGUCUGAAAAACUAAGAUUUAUUUUUACUUACUAUUAUUUUUUUUAUUUUAAUUUAAUUAUUUUA